rnacentral:lncRNA from 1 species
GAAGACGCCUCCACCCUCUCUCCCGCCAGAAGUGACGUCAGUCACGUGGGAGGACAAUGGUGAGAAGAGGGAACCUAAGAAUUCCUGGACUCUGACUGGGCGUGAGAAAUGGCCGGAAGUAGCUUCGAGUCCGUCAUUCAAGCAGUAGAGGCUCUGGAGAAAAACUGGAGCGCAUCUGCUUAAAGGGCCGCCCAGGGUCAGGAUGGAGGGGCAAAGUCCGAGCAGGGUCAGUGGGUUGCUGCUCCGUUUUCCUGUCCUGGGUUCAAGUCACCCUUCCCCCAGGGCUAAGGGCUCAGCGCCCCUACCGUCUCGUUAGAAAUCCUGCCUUCCCAUUCCUAUGGUCCAGUGGUCAGCCCUCCUAGCCUGAGAGGUGCAGCCUUGCCUCUCCGAGGGGAAGCCUGACUCUCCCGAUGGCCAGCCUGGGGCCCCUGGACGGCUCUCCGGGCACUUUCUGAACACACCUCCCUUUAGGACCCAGGGGAAAUAAUUUGUCCCACGCCCAUACCCUGGGCGAGUUCCUGGUUUCUGAGGUGGGAGAGCCAUCACUGGAGAGGUGGCAUUGGCGCCAGUACUCAGGCCAGAAGCCCCUUGUGCCCUGCUCUCAGGGGUUUCCUCCCAUAUUGGAUCACGAUGAAAACUGCACAGAAAGUCCGUGCUCAGUUUCUUCCAUGGUUACAGAACACAGGCCCCAGACCAGGAAGGCAUUCUGCUAAAGAAGGGGACCCGAAACCUCAGCUACCAGCGCCGAUGGUUCAUCCUCCGAGGAAACCUCCUCUUCUACCUAGAACACUAGACCGACCAUGCACCCCUGAGCCUCAUCCUGUUAGAGAACUGCCAGGUGGAACCACACCUUAAGGCUGCAGAACCCUAUGCCUUUACCAUCCUGACCCCUGGGGUGGAGGGCACAGGUGGGCGGGCCUACAAGCUGGCUGCAGAAACCCAGGAAGAGCUGGAGACUUGGCUGUGGGCACUGGCUGGCGCGAGCUGGAGGCGGCUGGCUGGGCUGCUGUCCCCCCUCCCCCCCCACCAAAACCCAAUACUGGGAGCUGUGCCAGGCAACUGGCCAAGAACCCAUCUCAUCCCCAGAGGACAGUGGCUUUCUAGCCACUGUGAGUACCCCCUCCAGCUUCCAGGAGUUGCAUGAGCACUUUGGGAAGGAGAUCCGGGUGCUGCACGUGGUACAUAGAGAGCUCCAGGCAGCCAGUGACAAUGGAGACAGCAGAUCCCAGGCAAAGAUGGAGCAGGAGCUCAACCAGUGUCUGAUGAGUGACUGAGAGAUGGACCCAAAGCUAAGAGGUACCUACUUGCCAAGACAGCAGACUGCUUCAACAGAGACCCAGGUCCUGGCUCUGUCCCUCCCUCCCUCGUCCUUACCCCAUCCCCCCCUCAUCAAAUAACAAGGCAGAAAACAGGCCCAGGUA